UACGGAGGGAGCUAGCGUUGUUCGGAAUUACUGGGCGUAAAGCGCACGUAGGCGGCUUUGUAAGUUAGAGGUGAAAGCCCGGGGCUCAACUCCGGAACUGCCUUUAAGACUGCAUCGCUUGAAUCAUGGAGAGGUCAGUGGAAUUCCGAGUGUAGAGGUGAAAUUCGUAGAUAUUCGGAAGAACACCAGUGGCGAAGGCGACUGACUGGACAUGUAUUGACGCUGAGGUGCGAAAGCGUGGGGAGCAAACAGG
rnacentral:rRNA from 1 species